rnacentral:tRNA from 1 species
UGGGGUGUGGCUCAGUGGUGGAGCACUUGCCUAGCAUGUAGGAGGCCACAGGCUCAACCCCAGCACCGCAA